rnacentral:rRNA from 1 species
AUUGAACGCUGGCGGCAUGCCUUACACAUGCAAGUCGAACGGUAACAGGUCUUCGGACGCUGACGAGUGGCGAACGGGUGAGUAAUACAUCGGAACGUGCCCAGUCGUGGGGGAUAACUACUCGAAAGAGUAGCUAAUACCGCAUACGAGCUGAGGAUGAAAGCGGGGGACCUUCGGGCCUCGCGCGAUUGGAGCGGCCGAUGGCAGAGUAGGUAGUUGGUGGGAUAAAAGCUUACCAAGCCGACGAUCUGUAGCUGGUCUGAGAGGACGACCAGCCACACCGGGACUGAGACACGUCCCAGACUCCUACGGGAGGCAGCAGUGGGGAAUUUUGGACAAUGGGCGAAAGCCUGAUCCAGCAAUGCCGCGUGCAGGAUGAAGGCCUUCGGGUUGUAAACUGCUUUUGUACGGAACGAAAAAGCUCCUUCUAAUACAGGGGGCCCAUGACGGUACCGUAAGAAUAAGCACCGGCUAACUACGUGCCAGCCGCCGCGGUAA